rnacentral:rRNA from 1 species
UUGGAGGGCAAGUCUGGUGCCAGCAGCCGCGGUAAUUCCAGCUCCAAUAGCGUAUAUUAAAGUUGUUGCAGUUAAAAAGCUCGUAGUUGAAUUUCAGGAUUCAUCCGUUGGUCGGGCCUCACGGUCCGUACUGGUGUGAUGGGUUCCUACCUUCUGAAUAACCGGCAUGCCAUUAAUUUGGUGCGCCGGGGAAGCAGAACUAUUACCUUGAAAAAAUUAGAGUGCUUAAAGCAGGCAAGUGCCUGAAUAGGUUAGCAUGGAAUAAUAAAAUAGGACGGCAUGGUUCUAUUUUGUUGGUUUCUAGGAUCACCGUAAUGAUUAAUAGGGAUAGUUGGGGGCAUUAGUAUUCAAUUGUCAGAGGUGAAAUUCUUGGAUUUAUUGAAGACUAACUUCUGCGAAAGCAUUUGCCAAGGAUGUUUUCAUUGAUCAAGAACGAAAGUUAGGGGAUCGAAGACGAUCAGAUACCGUCGUAGUCUUAACCAUAAACUAUGCCGACUAGGGAUCGGACGAUGUUAAUUUUUUAAUGACUCGUUCGGCGCCUUACGGGAAAC